ACCAGGUCUGGGAAGACCCUGGGAGGAGGCCCAUGGGCUGAGACCUGAAGCCACGUGCCUGUCAGGCAGAGAGUGGCCUGGACAGAGCCUGGACAGGAUGAGCUGAAGAGUGAAAGGCCAGGCGGCUGGAACGUGGGUCCAGGGAGUGGACAGAGGGGCGGGAUCGGUGAGGGGUGUCAGGACGCCCCGGAGGGCUGUGAGCCACUCUCUCGGCCGCCCCAGCACCUGGCUGUUCCGGCCUGGGCCUCGUGCUGGGCCCACUGGUUCUUUCAACGUGGUGCCCCACCCCAUCUGUCCAGCCAGAGUGUCAGCCCUUGACGGUCAAGGACGUGGCCCUGGAUCUGGGGACACCAGCACCUUGCACCACACAGGCUGCACGGGGCGGGAGGGGCCGAGCAUGCUGCCCCAGGACCCCCCACCUCACCCCUGGCUAGUCUGUGGUCCAGGAGUGCAAGCCUCUGGGGCCUCAGAGGGGCAGGCUGCGAAGGGCCACCCUGCCCGCAGGCCUCACCUCAGGAGGGGAGGGCGCAUUUCCACCACUUCCUCUGGCUUUUGCCGAAGUUGCUUCUAGAGACACUGCCCCUCUGCUCCUGUCUACAUCAGGGAAGAGCAGGCCGCGCAGCCCCCCAGGGAGGGCUCAUCCUCUCAGCUUUCCAGAAAGCUCUGGGAGUGAAUGUGAAGGCGGCUGACUCCCAGCAGCCCCUUCCUUGGGCAGCUUGGCCAGUUCUGAUGAAGGAAACCUGGCCCUGAUUGAGGGGCCCCUUGCCCCCAGGACUGCUUCCAGAUGUGCUGCCAUCCCAGUAGCUCCUCCCUUGGGGGCCCCAGUGCACGUGGCCACCUCACCAGCUGGACGCCCGCCCUCCCGGGACCCCUUAGUCAGGCUCACCCCUCCCUCACCCCCGGAGUCGGCUGGGUCUCCGUUUCGGGGGUCUGCAUCUCUGGCUGGGCCACGGCCCCAGGGACCACACGGACCCCGCUGGGCCACGGCUGGGAGCGCCUUACACCAGCUCCUUAGAGGGCAGAGUCCUGCACGUGGCCUCCUGGGCCAGGCUGUGGACCUCCGUCCCGGGGGACCCCCUUCUCGACUUGCAAGGGGCUGACCUGAGACCGGGUGGCGGGGUGGGCGAGGCCCUGUGACCCUCCAGGCCCAUCAAAAUGUCAGCAUCACUUGGAGACGGCAUUUCCUGGUUCUUUCUUGCCUCAGCGUCUCACCUUUGCGGCUGGUAGAAACACACUUGUAAAAGGAGGGCUGGAGGUGAGUCUGCGGGUGGCACGGCCAGCGCUCCCAGGAAGCCGAUGCAGCCGCUGUCUCCCUCUGACCAGGUGGCGGGGGGUCGGGGGGGGGGAGGGCGGGAUUGGAGGCAGUGUGGUAACCCCUCCGGGCCCAGCCUCCGUCCCUCCGUCUGCAGGACCCAGGGACCUGGGCCUGCCUUGCAGGGCAGAGCGGGACCCAGCGGCCCCUCAGGGCUCAGGGUGCGCUGUCCACCCCGUCUGAGGAUGGAUUUAGAGCGAUCGCCACCCCCCAGACCCUUUCUGGCUGACCAGGGUGGAGCCUGUUCUAGGGGCACCUCUGGUUGGGGGAGGAAGCAGAGAGGUCAUUUUAAACUCUCGGAGUAAACUUCUCAGUAGGACGGACAAGACUUAGAGGAGUGCUGGAGGGCUUACUGCAGAGCCGACUGA